UUACAAAGUCAUUACAAAUCCAAAUCAGUCAAAAUUAAUGCUUAUAAAAAUCCUAUCAAGUUUUCUCUCAAAUUCCUUUAAUGAUCUCUCAAAGAACCCUGAAGUCACUCUAAGUGCAUGGUUUUGUGCCAUGGAGUUUGAUUUCGACCUAAGUUGACAACUUGUCUUCUUGGGGUAUCAAUUCUUGGCUUCUUGAGGUAAAUUUGAUUAAAAUAUACUCUUAACUCCCUUCUACUUAUGCCUAUAUUAUUUUAUUUUCUAAUCUAUUUUAUUUUAUUUUAUUUAUGGUCCUACAAAAUAAAUAGAAGCUUAUUUUGUAAAAAGGCUGGAAUAGUAUUAU
rnacentral:lncRNA from 1 species